CCCGCUUGGAAUUUUCCCCAAAACAGGUCUUGACUGCUUGUCUGAGGUGCUGUCAGACAGGGCUAAACAGUUCAGGGUAUAGGACGAGGGAGAGUAAGAGGAGGAGCAGGAGAGGAUGGGGAGGAGUAGGAGGAGGAGAAGAGGGUUCUCAGGGUUUAUAAGGAAGAUGCAGUGAUUCAUCUGUCCUUUCUAUCCUGCGGAUAUGUCUGCUGAAGGAUUCAGGGGGCUGGUGACCAUAACUCUUUAACAGGUCACCAUGGAGUCCCAUUCUGUCUGCUUGCUAUGAAUCAUGUAAAUAUCUCUGUUUGAAGUAUCUCUGUAAAAUAAUAUAUUACUGUUCAGAGAAGUCAGGUCCUAGAUAAUGUAUCUGUAAAAAAAAGGAGACAAGUAGACUUCCUUUUUAUUGCUGUAAAUCAAGAAAUGUCUCACAACUACUCAGAACCGUCAAUAAGUCAAUAAGUCUGUAUUGGGACACGUUCAAUGAUACGUAUCAAGACCUCUACUGCUGCUGUUUUCUCUGCCACUCCCUUACAUCACCAGUGAUAAAGUACUGUUUGAUAAAGGUUUAUGAGCAAAUGUGAAGGUUUUGCUGUGGUGAAGGUUUAUGAAAUGUAGUACUGAACACAAUCUCUCUUCCCACAGUGAGGAGGAGAAGAAAUCCUGGGCUAGACUAAGGGCGGGUCGCGCCUCCCCCGCAACCGUCUGGUCAUGAGAACACUACACAUCGGGUGCGGCCUUCACUAGGGAGUAACGCAACAGUGGUGCUGCCUACCGCAGGAACAAGGCCGAUGCGUCGUGUUCCCAUGCCAGGCCAGCAGGGGGUGACGUGUGCAGAGCCAGUGCUGCAGAAAUGCAGUGACCUCGAAACAACUAACCAAAACUCAGACUACAGAAGCAAAACCACAAAAGCCAAAACUACUUUCCACUUCCCUUUUUCCCUUUGGCUUCUGGUGGUCUGCGUGCUUGGUUAGGUGGGCUCGAGGGAGGGGCCUGCUGAUAAACACAAUCCCAUAAUAGAUUCACCUAAAAAGGCUGUACGCAACAUUUACUGUAAAAACCAAUGAAAAUGUGAAAAUAAAACUGUAAACACAUGCAACUUUAA